GUGUGUAUUGUAUGCAUGUGAUGUAAGGUCAUUCGCGUGAAAAUAUCAGCGAGGAAAAAAUCGAAUUUUUGUGUUUUGUGUGCUAGCUUCAUGAAUUAAGAACAAAAUAGAAAAGCUGGAAGAGCCAAAAAAUAAAAAGCUGGUCUAAUUACUAAAUAGAUAAUUCGCAUUCAAGCAAAAACACCAAAACGAGAAAAAAUAAGAUCCAAAAACAAAACAAACCAAGCAACCGACAAACAACAACAUCAACAGCAUCAACUAAUAUCAAAUUAAAUAACUAAGCCUAAUAACGUAUACAUUUAAAGAUCUAUUUAUAAAUUAAUAUUUACCAUAAUGAUUUAGUAAGUUAAGCUUAAAGUACAAAACAAAAAAAAGAGAAAAGCAAAGGAAGAAGAAAUACCACAACCAAUAAACAACAACAACAACAACCACAACCACUAUAACCAACCAACAACCACAAAUAAUUAAUCAAUCAUUAAACGGAGUAAAUUCACAAAUCUGUAAUAAAUGCAAAUGACAAGGAAAUAACGAAAACGACAACAACACCAAGUCACCAACAACAGCAGCAGCAGCAGCAGCAGCCACAACAACACACAUCGGCAACAUAAUUAAUAACAACCAACAACAACAACGGAUCAAUACCAAAGAUGGAGGCAAAAUUCUUGGCUAGCGCUCUUUCAUUCCUCUCGAUAUUUUUAGCGAUUUAUGCUCAAUCACUUGAUAAGCUGGUGCCAAACUAUGAUAAUAUCGAGCAUAAAAUGAAAUUUUACGACAUCAAAUUUCCGCUGGUUCUCAGCUGCAACGUGAAAGACGAAACGCCGGGCGUACUCAUAUGGAAAAAGAACAACACCGCUGUGACGGAGGUGCCUUCCCUGAAAGGUCGCUUUAAGAUAAUCGCAGCCGAGAAUAGGUUCAUCAUCGAUAAAACGGACGUGCACGACGAUGGCUUAUACAGUUGCGAGUACAACGGAGAGUCCCAGAAUAUCACAGUGAUUGCCCGCGUUAUGGUAAGAGUGCCUUCAAAUACCGCUGUUGUGGAGGGUGAGAAGAUGUCGGUGACCUGCACCGUCGUGGGAACUGACCCCCAGUUGUCAUGGACCUUUGGCAAUGUAACGCUGACAAACGCCACAGAUCGCUUCGUCCUGAAAGCGGAUGAUAACAAUGUCCAGAACGCCAUCCUGACACUGGACAAUGUGACAUUGGACGACAGAGGCGAGUACAAAUGCAUUGGACGCAAUGCGGCCAAUGACUAUGGUGAUAACUCCACCGCUCCUGCCAGUGACUUCACAAACGUGCGUGUUAAGGGCAAAUUUGCCGCCGUGUGGCCUUUCCUGGGCAUCUGUGCUGAGGUGCUGAUUCUGUGCAUCAUCAUUCUCAUCUAUGAGAAGCGCCGCAACAAGAGCGAACUGGAGGAGAGUGAUACUGAUCCCCAAGAACAUUGAUCAAGUUCGCUCUCUAGUUAAAACUAAAUUGAAUGAGAAAUCCUAAAAACCAAAAAAAUAAAAAAACAAACAGAAAAGAUGUGGAAGAACCUGCCGCUUGAUUCGAUCGAUCGAUUUGGUUGGCUGCUUUCUGCAAUCAUCAUUAAAUAACUGAAAACUAAAAACCAAAAACCACCACAAAAAAACGAAAACUAACCCAAAAUAUUAACCUCGCCCUCGAUCAAUUCUCCAUGAACCACCCGCCUUGACUAACCAAAAUCUGAUCCAAAAUGUGCCCAGCGUCAACUAACUAAAACAACAACAACAACUAACUACAACAACUCCAAAAACUACAAUCACUGCAAUAAUUUACCAAAAAUAGUUACGACAACUACUAACAAUCUGAACAGCAAUAGCAACAUCUACGGCAUCUCUGCAACAGCAACAAGCAAAAGAAAAAGAAAAGGAGAAAUUAUGAUUAAAAUUCCUAAGCAAAAGAAAGAACACACCGUAUAAAGAAUAACAAAUAAUACCAUUAACAAAAAAAAACAUAUAUGAGCAAAAACACAUAACAGAAAGUAAAAUGCAUUAAGACAUUACAUAAACUACAUAAAACUAGCGAAAUCGAGAAGUGCUAAUGAGAAAACCGAGCAAGAGAAAAAGUUGUGUAACCUCUAAACCCCAUUUUCCCCCUCCCCUCAACCACCACAUCAGCCAGGAAAACCAAAAACUUUGUUUAGCAAAAUUGUAUUUUACUAAAAACAAAAAACCGUAAAACAAUUAAAAACAAACAAUUAAUAUUAAAACAAGUGGAAGCCGAAACCGAAGUAAAUCUAAAAUAAUAUUUAAAUGGAAAGUGAUAGCAGUUAAACGAACACUAAUAAGAGAAUAUGGAUAAACGAUGGCAGAAUAAUGGAACUUUAGCAAUUAACCAUAAAGUGAAGCGUUAACUCCAAAGCAAAAAUGUCGCACAUGCCACUACUCCCCCUCCCACGCACCCUCCACCUUCUGAACAACAGAAUAAUAUUGUACAUAACCUAAAAAAAAAACGUUGAGGAAAGCUAAAGAAGGGGAUCUUCUGUCCCUGCCUGACCCACUGUAGAAGCAAGCAGCAGCCCAGGCUCUGUCUCUCUAUCUCUCUUUAUACGACUAUAAUUUUCUAGGUAGCGAUAUUUUGAGGUUAGUUUUUAGUUCAAAACGGAACUUAAAGAAGAAAUAGGAAGACGCAAAAAGAAAGAUGGCGGAGAAGGACAUGAUCACAUGGAAAAGCGAUUGCAAAACGAUGUUAGAAAAGGAAAAGAAACUUUGUUUAUUAAACUUAGUUAAUACGGUGUAUUAAAAACUGAAGAAGAACUUUUUAAACAAUUAAGUAGCGCGUUAUGAGUAUAUUUUAAAAGGAUUAAUACCACAACUAGUAGCUGAUGACGAAUGAUAGAGAGGUAGACGAGGGACGAAGAAGAAGAAGAAGAAGAAGCGUUGGAAGAAGCGAAAACAUUGUAUAUUGCAUAAUUUUAGGAGGAAAGGAUGGACGUAAAUCAGAUGCGUACUGCCAAAACUUGUAAAGUUCAGUACUAUUUGCUUAGCCUCAUUUUUGGUAAACAAAAAAACUAAAAAAACCAAAAUCAAAACACACUAAGAACUAAAUACAAAAAAAUAAAAGAAAUCAUAAGCUCUGUUAAUUCAUUUCUGUUGUUGUUAAUUUCGGUUGUUUAUGUAUAAUGUAUGUGUAUAAAAAUCGAAGUGCGAAAGGAACUAAGAACUAAAGCGGUCUUCAAUUCACAUCUUAACUCAUAAUCAUAAAUAAAUCGUAUUUAUAUAUAUAUAUAUAUAUAUAUAUAUUUGAGUAUAUGUAUAAAUUUGAACGACUUCAGUUUUAUGUUAAUGUUUUUAUUUUCGUGGUAUUUUCGUUGUUGUGUUUUUCGCCGCCACCAAAGCUUUAAAUAUUUACAUAGUAAACUGUGUUCUCAGCAAAACGAUGAAGUUAAUGAAAUAAAAUUAUGUUAAAUGACACAAGGCGAGACGAUUUGUAUAGUAAACUAAAUGAGCAUAAUAAAUAAAAGAAACAGAACCCUUGACAAAAACCAACAAAGAAUGUUCUUGUUAUAUAUAUAAAUAAAGAAUAUAUAUAUAUAAUUGCUAUAUAUAUAAAUAAAUAUAUUUAUAUAUAUAUAGAUCACGUGUGUGUGUGUGCAUGUUCGAUUACAUAGUUAUAUACAUAUGCGAUGAAUUACAAAAAUAGAGGAAGAAGGUAAAGGUAAAUAAUAGCCUAGAGAGGAGACUUUUUGGAAACCGUCGAUAAAUUCUCGUGCAUAAGUUUUUUAUUCAUGUACAAUUGUUGUACAGUUUUUGUGGCUUAUUUGUGUAUAACAACUAUUAAUGACAACAACUACUACUUAUAUACAUAUUAUAAUUGAUCUAUUAUGUAUAACUGUACAUUUCAUUGUAUCUGCGUGAAACCCCUUUUUACUUUUAAUUUGUCGGCUUGGUUUCCUAUCAGACCGAUUCCCCAUCGACUUUCUCUCUUUCGACCAAAAAAAUGGAAAACCCCCUUGAAAACAGACAUCCUUGAAACUCUUUGAACUGAAAAGUAAGCCCAACAAGAAGGAAAACAACAACAACAACAGCUACGAUACCUAUUUACUGCUAUAUUGUAUAACGUAAUGUUACCCACAACAACAACAACAACAACAUGAACAACUAAACCAUACACACGUAACUAACUUUAAAGCAAACCAAAAUCAACUUCGGAACACUCGUCAACUAUGCUAUUUACAUACAUACAUAUAUAUACAACAUACAUAGUAACAAUGGAAAAGGAUGCAAGAAACGGAAACUAUACAUACUUAUAUAAUAUACACUUAUAUACAAACAACCACAUACGCAGUAUUGUAUGUCUUUUUGUACAGAAAACAAACGACAAACUAAGCCUGACAAACAAACAAAUCGUGUAUCCUAACUACAACUCCUCAGAUAGAACUUAUGUAUGACUUAUCGAAAGCACUCCCAUUCCUAUUUCCACUCCCAAUUCCUCUUAAGCAUCACUCUCUCAUUUAUCGACAUCGAUUGUUUACCCAUCAAUUGUUGCUAACUAUCGAAAAAUAUAAUCAGCAAAUGCAGAAUUUCUUGGCACACACUUUUGACCCUCACGCGUUAGUCGCUUCAUGAGUAGAGCAGCUAAAUGUGAACAUCAGACGAAGCUCUAGUUAAGUUACAAGAAGGAACCUUAUAUAUAUUAUAUAUAUAACAUAUAAAUAAAUAAUAUUAAUAAUUACACGUACGUUUAAUUAGUCGCGUAAGCCAAAUGUCGAGGGGAGAAGUCACAAGCCGAAACGAAAGCUAAGACUAAACUUAAGCCAGAAUAACGGUUCGCAUCGGUUAAAUCCAUGAGGGCAACCAAAUUAGUUAAAGCUAAAAUUGACAAGUUAGUUUCCAAAUUCAGGAAGGUCCUUAGUUAUUUUUUUUUUUUUUAGUUUUUACAAAGUGAAUAUAUAAGAAUAUAUAGUUAAAUCACAACUGUCUCUCUUCGACUUUCCAUACAGUGUGUUUUGGAUCUGUAAACCUAAUGAUGGAAAAAUGAAAAAAAAGGACAAAAUGCUCUCAAAGAUCAACUAUUAAACAUUGGAAUCAAUGAUUUCCAAAAACACUUGUUAUGGCAUUAAAAGCAUUAAAAUUCCAGAACCAAAAGACAUUGUUUGCGAAAUCAGAGCCAAGUUAUGUUUUUUUUUUUUUUACGAAUAUGAUUUUUGGCGAAUUCACUGGCAAGUCACACAUUUUGUAUGAUUUCCAGCUCUGGAAAAGAGCUUGUAGCUUCCGAUAGAGAAGGAAAUGGUGGAAUAUGGAUGAGGAGCCUUUAGCCGGCCAGGCUAAGAUUCUUGCUAACCGAACCCGUAAAAACCUAACUUUGUUUUCCGCAGGCGCCCAGAGUAGUGUAAAAAAGUGGACAAGCUGUAGGACACACUGUAGGAGAACAAAUAAUUGCCUUAGGGUUUCAGUAGAAAUAAAACAAAAAAAAAACAUUAAGAAAUAAUUUAUUUAUGUUUUAAAUCAUUUCCCUAAUCGGCGACGACUUUGAGCAAAACGUGUGACUUGGCCUUAAAAGGGGGUGUGACAUCAGCACUCUAUAAACCAGUUAGUACUACGGGUAAACACGGUUCGCCAUAAAAACCGAGAACCGAAAAGCAGUAAAAUAUAUUCUGUAAUCCAAGCUAGUAACCGAAUGUCACACAAAACACACACACACACACCCAUGGGCCGGCGAAGGCAAAUGGAAUCCUUCCGGGAUGAGCUAGAAAUAUAGGAUAGCUGACCGCAUAAGCCUUUAGGGGAGUUAGAAGAAGACGAAGAAGAACCGAAGAAUAAGAAAUCAAUUAAGUGCCAGCCCCCGCCUCUCCCCUUUUCAGACUUCGCCAUAUGAUAACCAAAUAGAACUCGAUACCAAGUCCCAAAGGAAGAAUUCCAAUUGGUUCCGCCGGUCCCUGGCGAAAUGUCUUCAACUAGAGCGAACACAAAACUGUUUCAAAUGAAUACUAAUCGAUAAAUCUAUGAUUUUUAGCAAUUUAUAUAAAUUACAUAUAUACAUACAAAUACAUAGAUAAUGAAUUAUGGAAACCGAAGCUAAAACUAGACCUAAUCCUAAAUCUAGACCGAAGAGAAAUCACAAACAAGUCAACAGGGCACAGCGCUUCUUAACUAUAUUAAUUUCGACAAGCAGAACUUUUUCUAAACCUAAACCAAACCAAGAAAAUGUAAAACCAACGCUAAUCUUAAAAACUAUAACUAACUUUUUAAACUAAUAUUGAAAUUGAACCCAACAAAGUGUUCAUUAAACUAAAAAACCAAAAGGGUUACAUAUAUGUACGGAGCAUAUGUAUAUGUACUUAACGUUAUACAUUAAAGAAACACAACAUUUUGUAUGGCUAUGGCAAAAAACAAAUCCGAAAAAACCCAAAAAAAAAAAAAAAAAACGAACAUAAGCAGAAGAUGGUGAAAAGAACCCAACAAUUUAGCUAAGUAAUUUAAUGUAAAGAGUUUAUCGAAUAAAUUGAGAAAUAAACCAAAACCAAAACCAAAAAAAAAAGAGAAAACUUUAAUGAAACUUUCAGAUCAGAUUUCUAACGAACUUUACGAAUUUCCAAUAAGAUGAAAACUGCGCUCUUUACGCCUAUCUACCGAACAUCUCUUUACAUAGACAUUAUAUGAUAUAAAUAUAAUUAUAAUGGUGGAAAAAAGUUGAGGGAAACCGAAUACUUACAUAAGCAUACACUUGUUUUUAGCACUAAAUGAAAUCUCUUGCGUUACUUUUGUUUAACAAAUACUAAUUAAACCAGAUAAAUUAAUAUACAUACAAAACAUACUAUAAACAUACAUACUAUAUAUACAUACAUUACAUAUAUAUAUAAAUAGAGUUUUUUAGAUCGAAAACCCGAAGAAGAAAAAAACCUAAGCCCAAAACCUAAAACACCCAAAAUCCAAAAUCCAAAACCGAAAUCCUAAACACGCAAAUCUCGUCUCAUCUCACGGAUGUGCUACACUAAAUUAGUAACUAAACUAAACUAAACUAAAACUAAACUAUUGUUAAACCGUAAAACACAAGCAUACAUACACAAACACAUUAAACAUUAACUAAAUAUUACAUGAAGAAGAAGAAGAAGAAGAAGCAGAACAACAAGUUAAGCAAGUUUAAGCGAAAUCAAAGUGAAGCAUAAUUUGCAGCCGCUGGCAGUUAGAACUUGAAAAAUCCCCGAAAAGCAGGCAGUUAGUAAAUGAAAUGAAAGCGAGCCGAACGAGACCGUUAGUGCAGUAUAAUAAUAAUAAACAACAAAUUGUAUUAUAUCUAAGCCCAUGAAAUUAAAACAAAAGUUAAACAUAAUGAGAACACGACAAAAAUGUUAAUUACAAGCGCUAAAACAAGUAAAUAGCUAAACCAAACCAAAAAUAAGAAGAAGGCGUCUUGGCGGCUAUUUAUUAAAAGUGAUUUAUAGGGCAGAGUUGAAAAUCAACUUUCAGCUAAUAUAGAUUAAUAACAAAUAAAGACCGAAAAACCACAAAAAAAAAAACAAAUAUUUUAAAGCAAGCGCUUGAAUUGUACAUUUUUACAAGGCAACUGUACAUUAAGCGCCCACGGCAUUAAGUAAAAAAUAAAAACAAAAAAAAACCAAAAGAGUUGACAAGCACAUAAAACAAAACAAAACAAAAAAAAAUAAAUAAAAUCCAAAAAAAUAUACGAGACAGCAACGGAGUGUGUGCGGCUGCCCGACACACAAGAAGUUGCCUAGCCAGAACGGAAAUGAGUUUAUUAAAUAUAUACAUUUAAAAAUUCAUAAACAAAAAAAUCAUGAGAAAGGAAAAACCCAAAAAUUCGUUGCAUAAUAUUUAAAACGAAGGUAGUAUUAAACUCGAUUGCCUAAUUCUAAUAUUAAAACCAAAAGAAAACAAAAAAAACUAUAAAAACAUUAACAUUAACAGUAAUAAUAAUAAUGAAAACAAGAA